rnacentral:rRNA from 1 species
GAUGAACGCUAGCGGCAGGCCUAAUACAUGCAAGUCGAACGAGAUUGGUAGCAAUACCAUGAAAGUGGCGCACGGGUGCGUAACACGUAUGCAAUCUACCUUUAAUUGGAGGAUAGCCUCGAGAAAUCGGGAUUAAUACUCCAUAACAUUAUGAAGUGGCAUCACUAUAUAAUUAAACCUCCGGGGAUUAAAGAUGAGCAUGCGCAACAUUAGCAGUUGGUAAGGUAAUGGCUUACCAAGGCUACGAUGUUUAGGGGGUCUGAGAGGAUGAUCCCCCACACUGGUACGU